rnacentral:snRNA from 1 species
AUGCUUACUUCAGCAGCACAUAUACUAAAAUUGGAAUGAUACAGACAAGAUUAGCAUGGCCCCUGCGCAAGGAUGACAUGUAAAUUCAUGAAGCAUUCCAUAUUUUU